rnacentral:rRNA from 1 species
CCUACGGGAGGCAGCAGUAAGGAAUAUUGGUCAAUGGGCGCAAGCCUGAACCAGCCAUGCCGCGUGCAGGAUGACGGCCCUCUGGGUUGUAAACUGCUUUUAUACGGGAAGAACAGCAUCUACGUGUAGGUGUUUGACGGUACUGUAAGAAUAAGGACCGGCUAACUUCGUGCCAGCAGCCGCGGUAAUACGAAGGGUCCAAGCGUUAUCCGGAUUUAUUGGGUUUAAAGGGUGCGUAGGCGGCUUUUUAAGUCAGUGGUGAAAGCCUGAUGCUCAACAUCAGAACUGCCAUUGAUACUGAAGAGCUUGAGUACAGUUGAGGUUGGCGGAAUGUGUCAUGUAGCGGUGAAAUGCUUAGAUAUGACACAGAACACCGAUUGCGAAGGCAGCUAGCUAAGCUGUUACUGACGCUGAUGCACGAAAGCGUGGGGAGCAAACAGGAUUAGAUACCCUGGUAGUCCACGCCCUAAACGUUGAUAACUCGUUGUUAGCGAUAUACUGUUAGCGACCAAGCGAAAGCAUUAAGUUAUCCACCUGGGAAGUACGGUCGCAAGAUUGAAACUCAAAGGAAUUGACGGCNGAGAGNGCGAGGACGACGACGAGGGAGGAGG